GUUAUGGUCGGGGCCACGUGCCGCCGGCUCAGCGGGUCACGCGGCCCGGCCUCGCGCCGCCCCCAACCGUCACCCCGCCGCCCCCAACCGUCGCCGCCCGCCCGCGGGGCUGCAGCGUCCCCGGGGCUGCGCGGAGGGCGCUUCCCUCCCCCGCAUCCCUAGCAAGGGGGGGAAGGGCCGGACAGGGGGGUGUCCGGCGGGGAUCAGGUGCUGGCUGCGGAUCCCCGUGCCUGCUAAAUCCCUCUGCCUGAGGGGAGGCAGGUGGGAGCCUUCUGCUGCUGGCCCUGGGAAGAGACCACAGCUCACGGCUAGCGAAUCUCUCUCCCUCUGCGCUCUCCUGCUGCUUGUUAGCUUGGAUUGAGCACUGUCCACAGAACUUCUCAUCAGCUCCCAGUACAGGCAGAGUGAAUUUGGAUCUCUCUGAAGAACCAGCCCAGAUUCAGGAUAUGUUUUUCUUCGUCCGAGUUAUAGUCAGGUCUUCAAGAUCAUUUUGUCGUUGUGUUGCUGCAACCAAUGCAGAUCCAAAUGCUGUGGCUACAAAGGCUUGUUACUUUCUUGCGCUGAAUCCUGCGAAUCCAAGAGCUACUUGGCAGUUUCCAAGGCAACCACCUGUGGAAUAA
rnacentral:lncRNA from 1 species